GCGCCGCGCGCGGGAGAGUGUGGCGAGCCAUUGCCACCGCCGAAGGAGCAAGCCGCCCCCGGAAUCUCUCAGGCCCAAGGACCGCGCCGGCGUA
rnacentral:ncRNA from 2 species